rnacentral:lncRNA from 1 species
AUGUCUCAUAACUUAACAUGGCCCUUAUUUGAAAUAACCGUUUGUUUUGCGUGGACAUGUGGGAUGUUGGUUGAGAUUGGAUUUUAGUGCGCUCACUUGCAUAAUAAUGGAAGAGUGUGUAUAUCAGAAUUUUCUAUAUAUAUAUAUAUAAUUCUAUCAUCUAAAUAAUAUUAUAAAUAUUAUUUAAUAUAUUAUCAAUAAUAUUUAAUUCAAUAAUCAAAUGGAGGA